rnacentral:pre_miRNA from 1 species
CCCCCACCCAUGUGUGUAGGACCCCAAAGGAUCACAAUUAAAGUUGGCAUGAAUCUCUAGAAAAGUUAUCACAUGGGUGUGGGAUUUGAAUUUUCUAUAGAUCCGUGCCAAAUUUAAUAGUGAUCCUUUGGGGUCCUACACAUAUGGGUGGGGG